GACGAACGCUGGCGGCGUGCCUAAUACAUGCAAGUCGAACGAAGCUGUUUUAACUGGUGCUUGCACCGACUUAAACAACUGAGUGGCGAACGGGUGAGUAACACGUGGGUAACCUGCCCCAAAGCGGGGGAUAACAUUUGGAAACAGAUGCUAAUACCGCAUAACCACAGAAACCACAUGGUUUCUGUGUCAAAGAUGGUUUCGGCUAUCACUUUGGGAUGGACCCGCGGCGUAUUAGCUAGUUGGUAAGGUAAUGGCUUACCAAGGCAAUGAUACGUAGCCGAACCGAGAGGUUGAUCGGCCACAUUGGGACUGAGACACGGCCCAAACUCCUACGGGAGGCAGCAGUAGGGAAUCUUCCACAAUGGACGAAAGUCUGAUGGAGCAACGCCGCAUGAGUGAAGAAGGUUUUCGGAUCGUAGAACUCUGUUGUCAGAGAAGAACGUGUGCGAGAGUAACUGCUCGUGCAGUGACGGUAUCUGGCCAGAAAGCCACGGCUAACUACGUGCCAGCCGCCGCGGUAA
rnacentral:rRNA from 1 species